rnacentral:rRNA from 1 species
UCCUACGGGGGGCAGCAGUGGGGAAUAUUGCACAAUGGGGGAAACCCUGAUGCAGCGACGCCGCGUGAGUGAAGAAGUAUCUCGGUACGUAAAGCUCUAUCAGCAGGGAAGAAAAAAAGUCUUUGGCUUUGGACGGUACCUGACUAAGAAGCACCGGCUAAAUACGUGCCAGCAGCCGCGGUAAUACGUAUGGUGCAAGCGUUAUCCGGAUUUACUGGGUGUAAAGGGAGCGCAGGCGGCGCGUUAAGCCUGGUGUGAAAGCCCGCGGCCCAACCGCGGGACUGCAUUGGGAACUGGCGCGCUGG